ACGGAAGGCAGCAGUGGGGAAUAUUGCACAAUGGGGGAAACCCUGAUGCAGCGAUGCCGCGUGGAGGAAGAAGGUUUUCGGAUUGUAAACUCCUGUCGUUAGGGAAGAAAAAGGACGGUACCUAUCAAGAAAGCUCCGGCUAACUACGUGCCAGCAGCCGCGGUAAUACGUAGGGAGCGAGCGUUGUCCGGAAUUACUGGGUGUAAAGGGAGCGUAGGCGGGAUUGCAAGUCAGAUGUGAAAACUACGGGCUCAACCUGUAGACUGCAUUUGAAACUGUAGUUCUUGAGUGAAGUAGAGGUAGCGGAAUUCCUAGUGUAGCGGUGAAAUGCGUAGAUAUUAGGAGGAACAUCGGUGGCGAAGGCGGCUUACUGGGCUUUUACUGACGCUGAGGCUCGAAAGCGUGGGGAGCAAACAGGAUUAGAUACCCUGGUA
rnacentral:rRNA from 1 species